rnacentral:piRNA from 1 species
UAACCUGAUGAACAAUCCUAAGU